AGAGUUUGAUCCUGGCUCAGAACGAACGCUGGCGGCACGCUUAACACAUGCAAGUCGAACGGCAGCGGGUCCUUCGGGAUGCCGGCGAGUGGCGAACGGGUGAGUAAUACGUGGAAACCUAUCCUGAGGUGGGGGAUAACAGCUGGAAACGGCUGCUAAUACCGCAUAAGCCCUAAGGGGGAAAGAUUUAUCGCCUUAGGAGGGGUCCACGUCGGAUUAGCUAGUUGGUAGGGUAAAGGCCUACCAAGGCGACGAUCCGUAGCUGGUCUGAGAGGAUGGACAGCCACACUGGGACUGAGACACGGCCCAGACUCCUACGGGAGGCAGCAGUGGGGAAUAUUGCGCAAUGGGGGAAACCCUGACGCAGCGAUGCCGCGUGGGUGAAGAAGGCCUUCGGGUUGUAAAGCCCUUUCAGUGGGGAAGAUAGUGACGGUACCCACAGAAGAAGCUCCGGCUAACUCCGUGCCAGCAGCCGCGGUAAUACGUAGGGGGCGAGCGUUGUUCGGAAUUACUGGGCGUAAAGGGCGCGUAGGCGGUGCAGCAAGUCAGGAGUGAAAAUCCAGGGCUUAACUCUGGAAGUGCUUUUGAAACUGCGGCACUAGAGACAGGCAGAGGGUGGUGGAAUUCCCCGUGUAGAGGUGAAAUUCGUAGAUAUGGGGAGGAAGACCGGAGGCGAAGGCGGCCACCUGGACCUGAACUGACGCUGAGGCGCGAAAGCGUGGGGAGCAAACA
rnacentral:rRNA from 1 species